UUGGGAUAACUUCAGGAAACUGGGGCUAAUACCGGAUAGGAGCUCCUGCUGCAUGGUGGGGGUUGGAAAGUUUCGGCGGUUGGGGAUGGACUCGCGGCUUAUCAGCUUGUUGGUGGGGUAGUGGCUUACCAAGGCUUUGACGGGUAGCCGGCCUGAGAGGGUGACCGGCCACAUUGGGACUGAGGUACGGCCCAG
rnacentral:rRNA from 1 species